AGUAGAGUAAGCUAAACAAGCUGUCGGGCCCAUACCCCGAAAAUGCCUACCGGCCUCUACUA
rnacentral:tRNA from 1 species